AUUGAACGCUGGCGGCAUGCCUUACACAUGCAAGUCGAACGGUAACGCGGGGCAACCUGGCGACGAGUGGCGAACGGGUGAGUAAUGCAUCGGAACGUGCCCAGUAGUGGGGGAUAGCCCGGCGAAAGCCGGAUUAAUACCGCAUACGACCUACGGGUGAAAGGGGGGGAUCGCAAGACCUCUCGCUAUUGGAGCGGCCGAUGUCAGAUUAUGUAGUUGGUGGGGUAAAGGCCUACCAAGCCGACGAUCUGUAGCUGGUCUGAGAGGACGACCAGCCACACUGGGACUGAGACACGGCCCAGACUCCUACGGGAGGCAGCAGUGGGGAAUUUUGGACAAUGGGCGCAAGCCUGAUCCAGCCAUGCCGCGUGCGGGAAGAAGGCCUUCGGGUUGUAAACCGCUUUUGUCAGGGAAGAAAUCUUCUGGGUUAAUACCUCGGGAGGAUGACGGUACCUGAGGAAUAAGCACCGGCUAACUACGUGCCAGCCGCCGCUGUAAAAC
rnacentral:rRNA from 1 species